CCUGCAGUCUCGACAUAAGAUAGCGAUUCGAUCGCAAACUGACAGUCGCUAAAUAUUAACGAAAAUAUUCGCUUGCCAUAACGACAGUAACGAUAAACGCAAGUCUCGACAGCCGAGAUAGCGGGCAACAUCGCUAAUUAUCAUGACAUAUUCGUGUCGGUACGAUAGCGAAAACCGUAUUCAUAGUGCGGUGAAUUUGUAUUAAAAUGUUGCAUGUAAAAAAAAUCCUUGUAUUAUAGGGAGAAAUGGUAGACAAGAUUUGCACAACCAAUUUUGUUUCCUUUGACAAUUAUAAAGAAAAUAGAUGAACCUUAUCAUAUUAAAACUUUUUGCAUCGAACCGUGUAAGUAAAACAUACCGUUUUUUAAGAAAACACAUAUUAAAGAUCUUAAUAGUUUGCGUACUUGCAAUACAGACAUAGAACAUAAACAAACUGUCAAUGUCAAGUUUGUUUGUGCACUUGAACAUUGGUUUGAUUUAUAAUAAUAAUAAAGGAGAACGGUGUAUUCAUUACUAUUCAUGGACGGUGAAGUCAUUGAAACAGGCGCAGGCCUGCCGGGUGCCAGCAGCUUGAGCGUCAGGUAAGUACAUCUACAACGAGAAUUUUUUAUUCCUAUUCUUGGUACUUACUAAAUUGAAUACUUUGUAUACAUCCGAAGUAUUCUGUGUUUACAUAAUGACUACUUUAAUGUUUCAGGCGUAAGCGUCUGCGUAGCCCUCGUGUUACACCCGCUCAAAUUGAUGCACUACUAUCAAUAUUAGAAGCGCGUCCAUAUUUGCACGCGGAAAUUUACCGGCUUGCAGGGCCGGGAAAAUUUCGAAACGGGCUGGAGGGAGGUUGCCGAGGAGCUCAAUAAUCUCCCUAACGGGUCUAGAAAGACACCAGAGCAGUGGAUGACGGUUUGGAGAGACUUAAAAAGCCGCGCUUGCAGUAAGGCGGCAAAAUUAAAAA